rnacentral:rRNA from 1 species
UACGUAGGGUGCAAGCGUUAAUCGGAAUUACUGGGCGUAAAGCGUGCGCAGGCGGUUCUAUAAGACAAGAUGUGAAAUCCCCGGGCUCAACCUGGGAACUGCAUUUGUGACUGUAGAGCUGGAGUGCGGCAGAGGGGGAUGGAAUUCCGCGUGUAGAGUGAAAUGCGUAGAUAUGCGGAGGAACACCGAUGGCGAAGGCAAUCCCCUGGGCCUGCACUGACGCUCAGUGCACGAAAGCGUGGGGAGCAAACAGG